CCCUCCCUGAUCGUCAUCUUUGGGCCAGGCCUCUGCUGAGCCUUGGGGCCAGUGGGGACUCAGAUGCUAUUUGACCUCAGAGCAGUCUGGGCCAGCAGGCAGGUGUCAGCCACAUUGUGGUUAAGUGCACAGGCCUUAGGGUUGGAUAGGCCUCAGUCUCUAGACCUUACCAAUUACCAGCUGGCUGCCUUUUGAUAACCCUCAGCUCCAGGGUGGCUGGGAGGAUUGGAGAUCGUGCUUGGCACAUAGUAAGUGCUCGUCUGUUGAUGAUUGUUAGCUUUCAUGCAAUUAGGUCCUGGACGAAACACAUGGACAAAUAAGACACAGUUUCAGUUUUGUUCAUUUGCUCACUGAAAAUUCACCUGUGCCGAUGGCUCUGUGCUUGGUGUUGGGCAUAAUAAUAAUUCUUAUUGUAGGUCAUAUUUAUUGAGCUCUUACUCCAUGCUCAGCACUGUUCCAGGCACUUAUUUAUAUAUCACAAAUCACAGCUGUAUGAGCUAUGUACUACGACUGCGCUAUUUCAUCGGGGAGGAAACUCGGGUGAGAGGUUAGGCAGCUGGCCUGAGCUCCCAUAGCCAGAAGGUGACCAUGCUGGGAUUCACACCCAGGUCCGAGGCCCUCCUUAACUACACUAGUCAGAGACAAGCAUGUCUUUGCUACUCCGGAGUCAUGGUCUAGUGCAGUGGUCGGCAAACUCAUUAGUCAACAGAGCCAAAUAUCAACAGUACAACGAUUGGAAUUUCUUUUGAGAGCCAACUUUUUUAAACUUAAACUAUAUAGGUAGGUACACUGUUAUUAACUUAAUUAGGGUACUCCUAAGGCUUGGGAAGAGCCACACUCAAGGAGCCAAAGAGCCGCAUGUGGCUCGCAAGCCACAGUUUGCCAACCACAGGUCUAGUGGGUGGUGAUGGUGGUCCUGUGGGGUGCAGGGUCUUAGGGGAGGAUCCAGGGCAGCUUGCCCAAAUGCGUUCCUUGAGUCGUCAUGGUCAUUGGGUGGCACCCAGAGAAAGGGGGUCCUGGUCCGGGAGCCCCCUGCUGGCUGAGGCUGGUGUUCAGGCAGACAUGUCCUCUCACCCAGGGCCCCAGGAAGGUGAGGGACGCUGAGGAGGUGGAAUCUCGAGCUGUCCUGACCUUGUUCCUUGGACAGACCCAAGUAUCCCAGCCUCCUCCCAGGGCUGUCUGCCUUCUAGUCUCUUCUUCCUUCUCGGGUUCCUCCUCCCCUGGCCUAGCCUAUAGUUCCUAGACCUCUCUCUCUCUCUCUCUCUCUCUCUCUGACUCCUCUCCUGGUGUCUCCCUGUGCCCCGCAGAGGGAGGCAUAUUUUGCGCGGUUGCGCCGGGCUCACCAGAACCGCACGUCCCUCUCAGAGGAGCAGUUGCGGGUAGCUGUGACAACUGGGAGGAUCCCAGGACCCCCAGAGGGCAGGGGCCGGGCGCAGCAGCUCUCACAGGUGGACGAGGCCCAGAGGAGGAUGGACGCUGAGAUCUGGCAGCUCCUUUCCAGCUUUGCUGCCCAACCUCACCCCCCUGCCCCCGGGCUCCUGCCCCGUCCCCAGCCUGCAGCUGCUCUGCGAGCAGUUCCGUCCUCCUUCUCCUCUUCCUCCUCUUCCUCCUCCUCCUCCUCCGCCUCCUCUGCUCCUCUGUCUUCCAUAGGCUCGCAGUUCUCUCUCUCCUACGAAAGCUUCUCUCUACUUCCGGAAAGCCUCUAUUAUUGGCAGCUGCCCCGAGCCUUCCUGGGGAACAAGGUAACAAGGAGUUGGGAGGGUUCAGGGUGUCAUCGAAUCCUGAAAUGUCAGAAGGCCCUUUGUCAAAGCCCUUCAUGAUCAAAUGGGUAGACCAAGGCCCAGAGAGGGCAAGGGACUCGUCUGGCGUUCCACGUUUAGGUCAGAGUAGCUGAGACUACACCCAGCUCAGCACUUGCUCUUCAGUGGCCACAGGCCCCUGGCAGAGGGGCUGUCUUGCACAGCGGUCCUCAACCUGUGGGUCAUGACCCCUUUGGGGGUCGAACGACCCUUUCACAGGGGUCGCCUAAGACCAUCGGAAAACACAUAUAUAAUUACAUAUUGUUUUUGUGGUUAAUCACUAUGCUUUAAUUAUGCUCAAUUUGUAACGGUGAAAAUACAUCCUGUAUAUCAGAUAUUUACAUGACGAUUCAUAACAGUAGCAAAAUUACAGUUAUGAAGUAGCAACGAAAAUAAUUUUAUGGUCGGGGUCACCACAACAUGAGGAACUGUAUUAAAGGGUCGCGGCAUUAGGAAGGUUGAGAACCACUGCCUUAGAGGGAGCCUCAGGAAGUAGACACCCCUCCUUUAGGCUCCAUUUACCCUGCGUCACUGAACUAGCUCUUGGCACUACAUUCGUUCAUUCAAGAAGCAUUGAUUAAGCACUCACUGUGCGCUGUAUUGUAGAUGAGUGAAGACCCUGGCCUCGCAGCGCGCACUGUCAGUCUGAUUAUCCUGCCUGUUAUCAGCACCAGCAGCACUGUUAUUAGCAUUAGUGUUAUCUUGGCAUUACCUCCAUCUUAUUCCGAAAUGACUUAGAGUCUUCUAACGCAGAGGUCGCCAACCUUUCGGACCUCACAGACCACCAGUGGUCCACGGACCACCGGCUGGCGACCGCUGUUCUAAAGAAUACACAUAAUUUGUAAUAAAAUAACACACAGAGCAGCAGACAAGAAAGUCUGGCCCAGGAGAAUGCGGAUGGGGAAGCUCUGCUGAAGCCACAGGUGGAGCUGGACAUGACAGGGCUGGCAGCCCUGGGGCUGGGUGUCGCAGGCGCUGUGCUGAGUGCAGUAUUUUACGUGACCUGUGGCAUCCAAAGCAAACAGAAAACUAGUUGUUUCGUGGUUAUCUGGUGAUGGCCCUAAACUUCUUACCUUACCCUGAGCUUGUGGAGAACAUCUCGGGGCCCGUGUAGCCCAGUUCUGGCAUGUCGUCCAUAGACAUUUAAUAAAUGCUCACAGCUGAAUGAACAAACAAAUGAACAAAUGGGCUAGGCUUGAUGCACUGUGGGAUUGGUUUGAACAUCUGUCCUGGUGGCAAAGGACAGAAAGGGAAGUCCUGUGGGGCGGAGCUGAGGCUCUGGCUGCCCACAUGAAAGCCUUCGGUGGCAGACCUAAGGGCUGUUUCAUUGUGAGCCAUAGAAAACCUAAGUCCAGCUGUCUUGUCGGCAACAAAGAAAGGAAUCUAUUGGCUCAGGUAACUCCAGAGUCCAAGGGUGUCUGGUAUCAGGCAUGGCUGGAUCCAGGGGUUCAUUAGGACUUUAUCUCAGUUGGUGUCCUCCUCUGGCUUCCAGAAUGGCUGGUAAAGGACGUUUCUCUGUUCCAGUAGAAAGAGCAGAUGUGCCAGGUUGACGUGUCCACAUCUGAUGGAGUGGAGAGGGGGAGUGAUGGAAUGUGCAGAUUGGCUGGGCCUGGCUCAUGUCUUUCUUCAAACUACAUGGCCUGCAUAUAGGACAUAGUUUCUUUUAAAGGAAACCAAGGCUGCAGUUUGCCAAAAGCGGGGAAAUGGAUUCUGAGCAAACAAAACCCACCUGCCCAGGAGACGAGACCUCUGAGGAGCCACCCUCAGCCCCAUCCCCCUGGCUAAGAACUUGGAACCUUUUGCAGCCUCCCCUGGGUGGUCACUGUCCUUACUCCUCUCUGCAUUGUGGGUCGUUCCUUCUGAUGGACAGGGACUUGGAGCAUGUUUGGUGUGAUUAUCGGGCACUUGGAAAUGGGGAGCCCCGGAAGCAGAAAAGAGGCUGCUCAGGGUCAUUGCCGCCGGCUCAGGCUGUGAAGGAACUGAGUGAUGGCCUGUCUCCUAGGCAGGCACAGGCCAGGCCUAGUGACCGGCCUCUGUUUGGGUGGUGGGGUGAGACAGCACAGGUACAAAAGCGCCUUGAGAGGUUUUGCCCCCUCACCUGGGGAGGGCAAUCAGGCUGUGACUGCAGGGCUUGC